rnacentral:rRNA from 1 species
UCCUUCUAAGCUAAUAUCACCACGAGACCGAUAGCGAACAAGUACCGUGAGGGAAAGUUGAAAAGCACUCUGAAUAGAGAGUCAAAAAGUACGUGAAACUGCCUAGGGCUCAAGCCCGUUGAACUCGAUUAUCCGAGCGGAGACAUUCACCUGCGGCCGUGGGCUUUGCCGCCCACGCUGCAGGGCACUUGUCUCCCGCGCUACACGAGGACAUUGCGAUCCAUUACGAAACAGCUUCUGCGUCGCAAGACGCAAGGUCGCCCGACAGUUGCCCCUUGGUGCCGGUUGCUUGCCCCACCGUAGCGACGCUCAGUUCCGAAGGCCUGUGCCGCGAGCUGGGGCUUACUGCACGUGGUGUUUGCAGUCGGGCGCGUGAUGGAUUCCAGCGUACACCGUCGGCCUUCCCGCAACGGGCCGGCGGACUGUCGAUCGGCAAUGAUAAAAUCGAGGUACCUCCGGGACCCCUCUUGAAACACGGACCAA